UGGGGAAUUUUGGACAAUGGGGGAAACCCUGAUCCAGCCAUCCCGCGUGUGCGAUGAAGGCCUUCGGGUUGUAAAGCACUUUUGGCAGGAAAGAAACGUCAUGGGUUAAUACCCCGUGAAACUGACGGUACCUGCAGAAUAAGCACCGGCUAACUACGUGCCAGCAGCCGCGGUAAUACGUAGGGUGCAAGCGUUAAUCGGAAUUAGUGGGCGUAAAGCGUGCGCAGGCGGUUCGGAAAGAAAGAUGUGAAAUCCCAGAGCUCAACUUUGGAACUGCAUUUUUAACUACCGGGCUAGAGUGUGUCAGAGGGAGGUGGAAUUCCGCGUGUAGCAGUGAAAUGCGUAGAUAUGCGGAGGAACACCGAUGGCGAAGGCAGCCUCCUGGGAUAAAACUGACGCUCAUGCACGAAAGCGUGGGGAGCAAACAGG
rnacentral:rRNA from 1 species